rnacentral:rRNA from 1 species
AUGCGUGUCACGGCGCGGCGCGCCGGCGUCCUCGGGACGGUGGACUCCCGGCCUACCAACUCGCUGGCGGACGCGGCGCGCGCGCUCUGUGGCUCCUCCCACGACGAGGGCAUCGCUUCCGGGAACAGGCUGAUGGGCGCGCACCUGAGGGCCGGCAGGCCGGGCGCCGCUCGAGAGGUGUUCGACGGAAUGCCGCGGCGCGAUGUGGUGUCCUGGAACUCCCUCAUGGCCGCGCACGCGCGGGAGGGCGCGCACCAGGAGGCUGCAUACGCCUUCCUGGAGUUGAGGCGAUGCAGGCUCAGGCCGGACCACACCUCCUUCUCCACCGUGCUGUCGGCCGUCGCGCGGCUGGAGGCUCUGGAGCUGGGGCGAUGCGUCCACGGCCUCGCGCUCAAGGCCUGCUCCACGGGCAAUGUGUUCGUGGGCGCCUCACUCGUCACCAUGUAUGCCAGCUGUGGGGUUUUCGCCUGCCUGCAGCGGGUCUUUGACGGUGUCGACGCUCCAAAUGUGGCCUUGUGGAAUGCUCUUCUAUCAGGCCUCGUGAUGAACCAUCGGGUAGCAGACGCCCGCAUGGUUUUCGAUCAGAUGCCCGGUCGCAAUGUCGUGUCCUGGACGGCCAUGGUAAAAGGCUAUGUUACGGUGCACGAGGUGGACCUGGCAUUAGAGCUGUUUGACUUGAUGCCCAUGAAGAAUUCUGUGUCGUGGUGUGUCAUCAUAGGAGGGCUUGUCCACCAUCAGCAAUUCAGAGAGGCAAUUGAACUGUUCAAAGGUUUGAUGAGGAAUGGGGAUGAAGUCACAAAUGCGGUUCUAGUUAAGGUUGUGAAUGCUUAUGCUGGCCUGAAAAGUAUUGGAGGAGGCAGAUGCAUUCAUGGGUUUUCUGUGAAGUGUGGAUUUGUUCUUGACCUGAUUAUCGAGACAUCAUUAGUUGCGAUGUACUGUAACUCCUUGGACAUCGAUGAAGCACAAUUGGAGUUUGAUAAGUUGGACAGAAAGCAUGUCGGUUCAUGGAAUGCCAUCAUAUGUGGCUAUAUUUAUGCAGACAAGAUUGAUGAGGCUAGAGAACUUUUUGAUUCCAUGACUGAAAGAGAUAAGGUCUCGUGGAACUCGAUGAUUAAUGGCUAUAUCAGAGAUGGAAGAAUUACUGAUGCUACUGAGUUAUACUCAAGGAUGCCUGAGAAGAACGUGGAAGCAGCUACUGCUUUGAUGUCAUGGUUUGUAGACAACGGAAUGCUAGAUAAAGCACGGGAUAUGUUUUAUAGUAUGCCCCAAACAGAUGUAAUGUCUUGUACAUCUUUACUCUUUGGAUACAUGAAAGAAGGAUAUCUGGAUGAUGCACUGGACCUUUUUCAUAGGAUGCACAUGAGGACUGUUGUCACUUACAAUGUAAUGAUAGCUGGUUUUCUUCAUCAAGGAAAGGUUACUGAAGCUUACAGGCUCUUCAAUGAAUCACCUUCUCAUGAUUCAGUGACUUGGAGCUGUUUAAUUACCGGGCUCGCUCAAAAUGGUUUAACUGAUGAUGCACUUAGGAUGUACAAGAAAAUGCUAUUAACAUAUGUGCGCCCAAGCGAGUCAGUUGUUUCUAGCCUCUUAAGCUGUUUUGCACACCAUUCUAUGAUUGUUCAUGGUCAGCAGUUUCAUGCCACAACUAUCAAGCUUGGACUCGAGUUAUGUUUACUAAUUCAGAAUUCACUCAUUAGCCUAUAUUGCAAAUGUGGCAAAAUGGUUGCAGCCCAGAAUAUUUUUGAUCAGAUGGGUAAGAGAGAUGUGGUUACAUGGAAUACAAUAAUUCAUGGAUAUGCAUUCAGUAGCCUUGGUGAAAAUGCUAUUGAAAUGUUCGAGAAUAUGAAGAGGGCACAAGUUGAUCCUGAUGAUAUCACAUUUCUUGGUGUACUGUCUGCAUGUAGUCACAUGAGUCUUUUGGAGGAAGCAAAACAUUUCUUCAAUGCGAUGACACGUGAUCAUGGAAUUGUGCCUAAUAUAACGCACUAUGCUUGCAUGGUUGAUCUAUUUUGUAGGAGAGGCAUGGUUGAGGAGGCUGAAGGGUUAGUGAAGUCAAUGCCAUUUGAACCUGAUUCAGCAAUAUGGACCUCUCUCUUGAGCAGUUGCAGACUGAGUGGCAAUGAUAAGUUAGCAGAGCAUGCGGCAAGCCAAUUGAUCGCCAUAAAUCCUGGUACUAAAAUGCCUUAUCUGCACCUCAUCAGUGUACAUGGAUCAACAAAUAGAUGGGGUAUGAUUGAUAGUCUGCGAAGUCAAAUUAGGAGAACUGCCACUCAGAAAGAAGUUGGUUAUAGCUGGAUUUAG